rnacentral:tRNA from 1 species
GGGAAGGUAGCUCAGUGGUAGAGUGCUUGCCUUGCAUGCAUGAGACCCUGGGUUCCAUUCCUCAGCACCA